GACGAACGCUGGCGGCGUGCCUAAUACAUGCAAGUCGAACGCUUUUUCUUUCACCGGAGCUUGCUCCACCGAAAGAAAAGGAGUGGCGAACGGGUGAGUAACACGUGGGUAACCUGCCCAUCAGAAGGGGAUAACACUUGGAAACAGGUGCUAAUACCGUAUAACAAUCGAAACCGCAUGGUUUCGGUUUGAAAGGCGCUUUUGCGUCACUGAUGGAUGGACCCGCGGUGCAUUAGCUAGUUGGUGAGGUAACGGCUCACCAAGGCAACGAUGCAUAGCCGACCUGAGAGGGUGAUCGGCCACAUUGGGACUGAGACACGGCCCAAACUCCUACGGGAGGCAGCAGUAGGGAAUCUUCGGCAAUGGACGCAAGUCUGACCGAGCAACGCCGCGUGAGUGAAGAAGGUUUUCGGAUCGUAAAACUCUGUUGUUAGAGAAGAACAAGGAUGAGAGUAGAAUGUUCAUCCCUUGACGGUAUCUAACCAGAAAGCCACGGCUAACUACGUGCCAGCAGCCGCGGUAAUACGUAGGUGGCAAGCGUUGUCCGGAUUUAUUGGGCGUAAAGCGAGCGCAGGCGGUUUCUUAAGUCUGAUGUGAAAGCCCCCGGCUCAACCGGGGAGGGUCAUUGGAAACUGGGAAACUUGAGUGCAGAAGAGGAGAGUGGAAUUCCAUGUGUAGCGGUGAAAUGCGUAGAUAUAUGGAGGAACACCAGUGGCGAAGGCGGCUCUCUGGUCUGUAACUGACGCUGAGGCUCGAAAG
rnacentral:rRNA from 1 species